GAGACGAGACAGAACGGAUGCAUACGACGAUGCACACUGCGCGAGAUUCCGUGCAAAAUGCGACCGCGUGCGUAUCACGAACGUUGCGUCCAGCCGUCUAUCGGAAAAGGAAGCAGAAGAGGAAGAGAGUCGUACAUGAAAAUUACAUACCCCGUUUGUGUGACUUGCGCUUAAAAGGCCUCGGACGAAUAACUGUAGUCAGCUAAAAGCCUCUUGUACGUCAAUGCCACGUUUACAUCUCGUAGCCUACAUGGAAGUGUAAUACUUUCCCAUCAUUUCUCGAUUUUUCACGAUUAAAAUAAGGUAUUUCUCGUCAACUGGAGAAAAAAGACCGGUCGACCUUUAGACGUUAAUGAUAGUCGGAAUGACAUUUGCAACUGCAACUCCUUUACCUCGUCAACCAAUUCGAACAGUUUCACGAGAAAACUGUUGCAACUACCAUUUUAUUUGAGUGCUACGUCCUCGUACGCUAUCACACAUGUCACGAACAUUUUUCAACUCAAUUGUAAAAACGAGUAAUAUUAAAAAAUUCACUCAAUAUACGGAAUUGCGCGCGACAAUUUUUAGGAAAAAAGAAAAACGUGCGAUGGACACUAUCAUUCAUUGGACGAUCCAAUAUUUCAAGGUCGAGAGAUCAAUCCUUUCAAAAUCACGAUUCAAUCUACAACAAUCGCGUCAUAUUUCUGGGCCAACUAUCGAUAAAUCAACCGUAGCACAUGCAUCUGAAAUGUCAUCUCUCUCAGCGCGAUUGAAUUGACGAGUCGUUUGUCCGAUGGAAACGCAUGAAUUUCAUUUGUGCGAUCGUGUAACGGUGUACACCGUCAACGGUAAUUAAUUAAUUGGAACUAUUAUUAAAGCGUAGCGACUAGUGCAACGACAACCACCAGAUUUUCAAUCGCGCAUUGUAUUCUCUAUCACUACGUGAUGCAUUCACUGACAGACAGUCACCGUAGAAAUAUGCGUUACUCGAUCAAAUCAUAUGGUCCGCGCAACGGAGACGGUCAUCGUUUGGAACGCGAGGAAGCCGAAGCACCGGUGAACGCGCGACUGGCCCGAAGGACCCGGUAAGAGGUCCCUUUACUGUGCCGAGGCCCGAUCAUACGGCGAACGCACGGCGCGCUCGCUAAUGGCCAAUGGCGCACGGAUAAGAGGAAAGGACGUAGAGGAUCCUAGGAAGGAUCCUCGCGACGUCAAAAAAAGAGAAACUCGAUGUGACGAGUGAAGCCGAAGGAAGAGAAUCGAAAAUCGAU